rnacentral:rRNA from 1 species
GAUUAGUUUGAUCCUGGCUCAGGACGAACGCUGGCGGCGUGCCUAAUACAUGCAAGUCGAGCGGACAGAUGGGAGCUUGCUCCCUGAUGUUAGCGGCGGACGGGUGAGUAACACGUGGGUAACCUGCCUGUAAGACUGGGAUAACUCCGGGAAACCGGGGCUAAUACCGGAUGGUUGUUUGAACCGCAUGGUUCAAACAUAAAAGGUGGCUUCGGCUACCACUUACAGAUGGACCCGCGGCGCAUUAGCUAGUUGGUGAGGUAAUGGCUCACCAAGGCGACGAUGCGUAGCCGACCUGAGAGGGUGAUCGGCCACACUGGGACUGAGACACGGCCCAGACUCCUACGGGAGGCAGCAGUAGGGAAUCUUCCGCAAUGGACGAAAGUCUGACGGAGCAACGCCGCGUGAGUGAUGAAGGUUUUCGGAUCGUAAAGCUCUGUUGUUAGGGAAGAACAAGUACCGUUCGAAUAGGGCGGUACCUUGACGGUACCUAACCAGAAAGCCACGGCUAACUACGUGCCAGCAGCCGCGGUAAUACGUAGGUGGCAAGCGUUGUCCGGAAUUAUUGGGCGUAAAGGGCUCGCAGGCGGUUUCUUAAGUCUGAUGUGAAAGCCCCCGGCUCAACCGGGGAGGGUCAUUGGAAACUGGGGAACUUGAGUGCAGAAGAGGAGAGUGGAAUUCCACGUGUAGCGGUGAAAUGCGUAGAGAUGUGGAGGAACACCAGUGGCGAAGGCGACUCUCUGGUCUGUAACUGACGCUGAGGAGCGAAAGCGUGGGGAGCGAACAGGAUUAGAUACCCUGGUAGUCCACGCCGUAAACGAUGAGUGCUAAGUGUUAGGGGGUUUCCGCCCCUUAGUGCUGCAGCUAACGCAUUAAGCACUCCGCCUGGGGAGUACGGUCGCAAGACUGAAACUCAAAGGAAUUGACGGGGGC